CUUCUGCAUACACCUAGAGGAACUUGCAAUCAGUGUCAUCUUGCAGGACAAGCCACUGUGGCAUAAAAACAUCCCCUGGGAGCUGGCAUGUAUUCCUAGCAGUUAGCAUCUUUAUAAUCCAGUUGGCACCGUGUUACCCUAGUUUUCAUCCCAUUUC